AUGGCCCGCCGCAGCCGCCGCCGACCUUCCUCAACGCCGCCUCCGCUGGAAGACGACGAUCUCCUCCACGAGAUCCUCCUCCGCCUCCCCCCGCAGCCGCCCUACAUCCUGCGCGCCUCCCUCGUCUCUAAGCGCUGGCGACGCCUUGCCACCGAUCCCAAGUUCCUCCGCCGCUUCCGCGUCCACCACCGGAGGCCUCCUCUCCUCGGCGUCUUCUCAUCAGAUUACAAACGGAACAUUUCGUUCAGAUCCACUCUGGACCCGCCGUACCGCAUCCCUCCCGAGCGCUUCUCCCUGCCACUCGAGCCCUGGCCGAUGCUCGACUGCCGACACGGACGCGUACUCUUCGUUGAGAAGAAGCGGCAUCAGCUCAUUGUGUGGGACCCUAUCACUGACCACUACUGCUUCGUUGCCGGUCCGCCGCUGUUCAAGAUUGGGGUCCUUAGCGGGGCAGUUCUCUGCGCUGCCGCCGACCAGGGACACGUUCAUGGCGACUGCCGCUCGAGCCCUUUUAAAGUGGUCGUGCUGGCCUACGCCAAGCACGAUGAUCAAGAGGCGGGAUGCGUUGCAAGUGUUUACUACUCGGAGACUGGCAUAUGGAGCGAUCUCAUUUCAACAACGCUUCCAUGGAGGCCUGUUGCUUGUGAGUACAGCACAUUUGUUGGUAACGCCGUUCACUGGAUGCUUAUGAGUAGUGGGGGAUUGAGUGAGGGCAUACUUCAGUUUGAUUUGGAUCAGCAGAGGCUAGCUGUGAUCAAUACGCCUCCUGAUGUUCAUUACGAAUUUCACAGUGUUCAGGUCAUUCAGACAGAGGAUGGCGGCCUUGGCUUCGCCACUUUGCUGGGCCCCCACUAUCACCCCCGCUUCCAAAUGUGGGAGGGGAAGGUCAAUUCUCAUGGUGUUGCCAGAUGGGUGUUGCGGAGAACUGUUGAACUGCAGAAGAUUCUUGGAUUGGGGUUUAGGAUUGAGAAGGGGAUGUCAUCUAUAGUGCGCUAUACUGAGGAUGCUCAUGCAAUCUUCUUUUGGGUGCACUCAUUUGUCUAUAUGGCUCAGCUUGAGUCAAUGCAGUCCAAGAAACUAUUUAGAAGCAACGGCGGGUUUUGCACCUAUCGUCCUUUCACAAGUUUUUAUACUGAAGGUAUCAAUGGUUUGAAGCAGAAGUAG
rnacentral:rRNA from 1 species